rnacentral:rRNA from 1 species
UACGGGGGGGGGCAAGCGUUGUUCGGAAUUACUGGGCGUAAAGGGCCAGUAGGCGGCCAACUAAGUCCGACGUGAAAUCCCAAGGCUUAACCUUGGAACUGCGUCGGAUACUGGAUGGCUUGAAUUCGGGAGAGGGAUGCAGAAUUCCAGGUGUAGCGGUGAAAUGCGUAGAUAUCUGGAGGAACACCGGUGGCGAAGGCGGCAUCCUGGACCAACACUGACACUGAGGAGCGAAAGCCAGGGGAGCAAACGGG